rnacentral:rRNA from 1 species
AGCGAACGCUGGCGGCAGGCCUAACACAUGAAAGUCGAACGAAGUCUUCGGACUUAGUGGCGGACGGGUGAGUAACACGUGGGAACGUGCCCUUUGGUACGGAAUAACUCAGGGAAACUUGAGCUAAUACCGUAUGAGCCCUUCGGGGGAAAGAUUUAUCGCCAUUGGAGCGGCCCGCGUCUGAUUAGCUAGUUGGUGGUGUAAUGGACCACCAAGGCGACGAUCAGUAGCUGGUCUGAGAGGAUGAUCAGCCACAUUGGGACUGAGACACGGCCCAAACUCCUACGGGAGGCAGCAGUGGGGAAUCUUGCGCAAUGGGCGAAAGCCUGACGCAGCCAUGCCGCGUGAAUGAUGAAGGUCUUAGGAUUGUAAAAUUCUUUCACCGGGGACGAUAAUGACGGUACCCGGAGAAGAAGCCCCGGCUAACUUCGUGCCAGCAGCCGCCGUAACAC